rnacentral:rRNA from 1 species
AUGGGCGGUUGGCUUUUCAUGGAUGGAGGAGAUUCAGGACAAAACCAUAUGAUUUACAACUGGAAUACUGGAUCAAGGGUAAAUUUCUCCAGAAAAAUCGUCAUGGUCAACGAUGAGGGAGAAAAAAUCGAUGAAUAUGGUACUAGCCUUUCUGUGUGUGCUGCUUCAGGAAUGCCUUCGAGUCCAGGAUGCAAGGUUUUAGGGAUUAUCAGAAUAUCCGAGUAUUUUGGGGCUGUUGUUGCUUUGUGGGAUGAAGAGGAGGACAAAUGGAUUGAAAAGUCAUAUGUAAUGGAUCAUUGGACAGAGGAGGGCUUUGGGCCAAGGAUGGAUUAUAAUGUACUCGAUAUGAUAUUCCAUAAUGAUGCCUUCCACCUUCUUACGGAAGAGGAGGACAUCAUCAGAGUGCUUCCAUAUGCUCAAGGGGUGCAGAAGUUGCAUGUGUGGCGACGUAUGGACAGAGAAGUUGAUGAGAUGUUUGAAGAUAACCUUCAUGGCACCACAAUCAAGUACCUUGUCGAAUCGACAGGAGGUUAUCUUGUUAUGUGCAUCAAGUACGUCCGCCGUGGCAGAACAGAGUCGAUUAACAUGUACAGGUUAUCAGUUCCUGAGAAGAGGUGGCAUAACUACAGAUCGCCUGAGGGUGAAGUGAUCUUCCUUGGAAGCGGCUGUUCGAAGGCAUACCUCACGGAAGGCAUCCAUUCAGAAGUGCAUUUCCUGGAUGAUACAGAGAAGCACAUCAAGUCAAAGGGCAUCAAACUCUACACUCGGGAAGACAUGGGGGGCUUCCGCAACAACCAACGGUCCUACAGGGCACCAGCAGAGCUACUAGGUUCGACUUCUACCCUGUCCCGGCCCGUAUGGUUCCAUCAUUAG